rnacentral:misc_RNA from 1 species
GAUAUCACAGCCAACCUCGGGCUAAAGUUGAUAACCAACUAUUCCAACUUAAGUAUGCUCCGAUGCUCUACUAUAUGAUAUUAGUGGUUGUAAGUUUACAAUUAAGCGAGCUGCUGUACACGAAAUUAUGCCCUGGAGUGAAUCAUCCAUAUGGUUGCUAACACAAGAAAACUCAGAUUACUCCCUUGCAAAGCUGAACAGAACGCAUGCUCCAAGUGGUCAGGCAUCACAACUUCAUGGAAACAAAGUAAAGUUAAUUGCCCUAAGCUAUAAAAAAAAAUAAACCACUUAAAGGGCAGUGUUAUAGAUAAGAGGCUAUCAA